rnacentral:ncRNA from 2 species
GGUGAAUAUAGGGUGGGCGCGACACAGCAAUGGCACGUGGAGGAAGCCGGUGCGAAACCGGCGCGGUCCCGCCACUGUCACCCGGGCGCCCGCCCGGGGAGCCAGGAACUCCGGCCAUUGCCCACCGAU